rnacentral:rRNA from 1 species
AUUGAACGCUGGCGGCAUGCCUUACACAUGCAAGUCGAACGGCAGCGGACCUUCGGGUGCCGGCGAGUGGCGAACGGGUGAGUAAUAUAUCGGAACGUACCUUUCAGUGGGGGAUAACGUAGCGAAAGUUACGCUAAUACCGCAUAUUCUGUGAGCAGGAAAGCAGGGGAUCGCAAGACCUUGCGCUGAUUGAGCGGCCGAUAUCAGAUUAGCUAGUUGGUGAGGUAAAGGCUCACCAAGGCGACGAUCUGUAGCGGGUCUGAGAGGAUGAUCCGCCACACUGGAACUGAGACACGGUCCAGACUCCUACGGGAGGCAGCAGUGGGGAAUUUUGGACAAUGGGCGCAAGCCUGAUCCAGCCAUGCCGCGUGAGUGAAGAAGGGCC